rnacentral:rRNA from 1 species
GACGAACGCUGGCGGCGUGCUUAAUACAUGCAAGUCGAACGGGAAUCUCGCCUUCGGGUGAGAUUUCAGUGGCGGACGGGUGAGUAACGCGUGGGCAACCUGCCCUCUAGUCUGGACAACAGUUCGAAAGGACUGCUAACACCGGAUAAUGUCAUCUCGCGGCAUCGCGAGAUAAUUAAAGUUUUACGCUAGAGGAUGGGCCCGCGUCCCAUUAGCUAGUUGGUGAGGUAACGGCUCACCAAGGCGACGAUGGGUAGCCGACCUGAGAGGGUGAACGGCCACACUGGGACUGAGACACGGCCCAGACUCCUACGGGAGGCAGCAGUAGGGAAUUUUCCGCAAUGGGCGAAAGCCUGACGGAGCAACGCCGCGUGAGGGAUGAAGGUCUUCGGAUCGUAAACCUUUGUCUAGAGGGACGAUAAUGACGGUACCUCUGGAGGAAGCCACGGCUAACUACGUGCCAGCAGCCGCGGUAAUACGUAGGUGGCGAGCGUUGUCCGGAAUUACUGGGCGUAAAGGGCGUGUAGGCGGCUUUUUAAGUCAGAUGUGAAAACCCUGGGCUUAACCCAGGAACUGCAUUUGAAACUGGAAGGCUUGAGGACCGGAGAGGGCAGUGGAAUUCCCAGUGUAGCGGUGAAAUGCGUAGAUAUUGGGAGGAACACCAGUGGCGAAGGCGACUGCCUGGACGGCACCUGACGCUGAGGCGCGAAAGCUAGGGGAGCAAACGGGAUUAGAUACCCCGGUAGUCCUAGCCGUAAACGAUGGAUACUAGGUGUGGGAGGUAUCGACCCCUUCCGUGCCGCAGUUAACACAAUAAGUAUCCCGCCUGGGGAGUACGGCCGCAAGGUU